rnacentral:rRNA from 1 species
AGGGUUUGAUCAUGGCUCAGAACGUACGCUGGCGGCACGCCUAACACAUGCAAGUCGAACGAAGUAGCAAUACUUAGUGGCAGACGGGUGAGUAACAUGUAGGUAUCUGCCCUUUGGCCUGGAAUAACACGAGGAAACUUGUGCUAAUACCGGAUAAGUCUUUACGGAGAAAGCUUUAUGCACCAUUGGAUGAGCCUGCACUUGAUUAGUUUGUUGGUGGGGUAAUGGCCUACCAAGACUGUGAUCAAUAGCUGAUUUGAGAGGAUGAUCAGCCACAUUGGGACUGAGACACGGCCCAAACUCCUACGGGAGGCAGCAGUGGGGAAUCUUGCACAAUGGAGGAAACUCUGAUGCAGCGAUGCCGCGUGAGUGAAGAAGGCCCUUGGGUUGUAAAGCUCUUUCGUCGGGGAAGAAAAUGACUGUACCCGAAUAAGAAGGUCCGGCUAACUUCGUGCCAGCCGCCGCGGUAAUAC